rnacentral:rRNA from 1 species
UGGGGAAUAUUGGACAAUGGGCGAAAGCCUGAUCCAGCCAUGCCGCGUGUGUGAAGAAGGUCUUCGGAUUGUAAAGCACUUUAAGUUGGGAGGAAGGGCAGUAAGCGAAUACCUUGCUGUUUUGACGUUACCGACAGAAUAAGCACCGGCUAACUCUGUGCCAGCAGCCGCGGUAAUACAGAGGGUGCAAGCGUUAAUCGGAAUUACUGGGCGUAAAGCGCGCGUAGGUGGUUCGUUAAGUUGAAUGUGAAAGCCCCGGGCUCAACCUGGGAACUGCAUCCAAAACUGGCGAGCUAGAGUAGGGCAGAGGGUGGUGGAAUUUCCUGUGUAGAGGUGAAAUGCGUAGAUAUAGGAAGGAACACCAGUGGCGAAGGCGACCACCUGCGCUCAUACUGACACUGAGGUGCGAAAGCGUGGGGAGCAAACAGG